rnacentral:rRNA from 1 species
AAUUAAUAACCUAGUUAAAGCAAAAUUUAAAAUAGGAAGUCUGUUCGACUUUUAAAUAAUUACGUGAUUUGAGUUCAGACCGGUACAAGCCAGGUCGGUUUCUAUCUUUUAAAUAUAUUUUUGUAGUACGAAAGGACCUAAAAAUUUAAUAUUACUUAUUAUAUUGGCAGAGCAAUGCAUUAGAAUUAGAAUCUAAUUAUGUU